rnacentral:rRNA from 1 species
UACAGAGGGGGCAAGCGUUGAUCGGAAUUACUGGGCGUAAAGCGUGCGUAGACGGUUAUGUAAGUCAGGUGUGAAAGCCCCGGGCUCAACCUGGGAAUUGCAUUUGAGACUGCAUAGCUAGGGUGCGGAAGAGGGAAGCGGAAUUUCCGGUGUAGCGGUGAAAUGCGUAGAUAUCGGAAGGAACACCAGUGGCGAAAGCGGCUUCCUGGUCCAGCACCGACGUUCAGGCACGAAAGCGUGGGGAGCAAACAGG